rnacentral:rRNA from 1 species
UACGGAGGGUGCAAGCGUUGUCCGGAAUCACGUGGGCGUAAAGGGUGCGUAGGCGGGUCUUUUAAGUCAGGGGUGAAAUCCUGGAGCUCAACUCCAGAACUGCCUUUGAUACUGAAGAUCUUGAGUUCGGGAGAGGUGAGUGGAACUGCGAGUGUAGAGGUGAAAUUCGUAGAUAUUCGCAAGAACACCAGUGGCGAAGGCGGCUCACUGGCCCCGAUACUGACGCUGAGGCACGGAAAGCGUGGGGGAGCAAACAGG